CCCUUAGAUGUUCUGGGCCGCACGCGUGCCACACUGAGUAAAUCAAUGGGUAAGGGAACACGAAAGUGCAACCUAAUCUUGAAAUUUGCUCGUGAUGGGGAUCGACGGUUGCAAUUUUCCGUCGUGAACGAGGAAUACCUUGUAGGCGCGUGUCAUCAUCACGCGCCGAAUACGUCCCUGCCCUUUGUACACACCGCCCGUCGCUCCUACCGAUUGAGUGAUCCGGUGAGGCUCUGGGACCUGGACGGAAAGAGCGUUUCGCUUGUUCUGUUUGGGAAACUUGGUCGAACCUUAUCAUUUAGAGGAAGGAGAAGUCGUAACA
rnacentral:rRNA from 1 species